UUGCCUCAAUUAUGUAUGAGUACCCGCUGAACUUAAGCAUAUCGUUAAGCGGAGGAAAAGAAACUAAAUAGGAUUUCCAUAGUAACUGCGAGUGAACUGGAAUUAGCCCAUCACGAAAUCUAUAUUGUUAUUACAAUAUCGAAAUGUCGUGUAUAGGUUUUACUAUUCUUAAUAAAUUUUUAUUAAAUAAUUGUAUUUAAAUAUACAGCCACAGAAGGUGCCAGCCCUGUCGUUUAAUAAAAUUUAUUAAAUUUGUAAAACUUUAGAGUCGUGUUGCUUGGAAGUGCAGCACAAAGUUGGUGAUAAACAUCAUCUAAGGCUAAAUAUUCCUAUGAAUCCGAUAGCGAACAAGUACUGUGAAGGAAAAUUGCAAAGUACUCCGGAGAGAGAGUUAAAGAGGACGUGAAACCGAUACGAUGGAAGCAUACAGAGCCAGUUGCACUAUUAUUAAUUUUAUUAAUAAUUUUAAGCAUGGGUAUAUUGAUUAAUGAUUAGUUAUCUAUUAAAGAGUGGUAAAAAUUUUAUAUUUUUGCUAACUUUAAUAGAAUAAUUAUAUCUUUAAUUAAUAUUUUUUUAUUAUUAAUUGUUCUAAUAAUUUUAUAAAUAUCAAUAUUAUAUAAGACACAUGUGUUAAGUAUAAUUUUAAUUGAUGUUUAUAUUAUUAUUGUAAAUUAAUAUUCCUAUGUAAUCCUGGUAUGCUGUAUGUCCCGUCUUGAAACACGGACCAAGGAGUGUAUUGCUAUGGCAAGUCAUUGAUAUUGUUAAUAUCAAAGGCAUAAUGAAAAUAAAUAAUAUCUCAGAUCUUGUUAUUUUUAAUAAUAAGCGCAUGAGAGACGUAAAUAUAUGAUUUAUUCAUUGUUUGCAGUUAUAGCCAUAGUAGUGCGACCCGAAAGAUGGUGAACUAUACUAGUGCAGGGUGAAGUCAGAAGAAAUUCUGAUGGAAGCUCGAAGCGGUCCUGACGUGCAAAUCGGUCGUCUGACAUUAGUAUAGGGGCGAAAGACUAAUCGAACCAUCUAGUAGCUGGUUCCGGCCGAAGUUUCCCCCAGGAUAGCUGAAACUGUUAUACAGAUACAUCCGGUAAAGCUAAUGUUUAGAGGAAUAGGGGAUAAUAUAUCCUUUAUCUAUUUACAAACUAUAAAUGGGUGUGAUAUUAUGAUUACUUAAUUGAAUCAUGAUUUCGAUUGUAUAGUUUCAAGUGGGCCAUUUUUGGUAAGCAGAACUGGCGACGUGGGAUGAACCAAAAGUAUUGUUAAAGUGCCUAAAUUUUUGCUCAUCAGACCCCAUAAAAAGUGUUGUUUGAUCCUGACAGCAGGGCGGUGGCCAUGGAAGUCGGAACCCGCUAAGGAUCGUGUAACAACUCACCUGCCGAAUCAAGCAGCCUUGAAAAUGGAUGGCGCUUGAGCAAAAUACUUAGACAAUACCAUAUAUUAUAAUGUAAUAAUAAUAAUAUAUGUGUAGGCUGGCGUAGUAAUAGCAUUGAAGGUUAUAAGCGUAAGCUUGACUGGAGCUGUUAUUAGUGCAGAUCUUGGUGAUAGUAGCAAAUACACAAGUGAGAAUCUUGUGGACCGAAGUGGAAAAGGGUUUCACGUCAACAUCAUUUGACUGUGAGUUAGUCGGUCCUAAGCUAAAAUUGAAAAAUUUUUAUUCAUACUUAGCGAAAGGGAAAUAGAUUAAUAUUUCUAUACUAUUUAUGGAGAUAAUAUAGGAUUAAAACUAUAUUAUGCGUGGUAACACAAAUGAAACUAACUACAACUUAACAAGUUUUGGAUAGAGAUAUCUUCUCUAUUUAAGUUAUUAAAUCUAUGAAAAUUGCUCAGCAAGAGAUAUAGAUGAAGUUUAACGUAGAGUACUAACAUUUUGUUGGUAUCCAAAGUGCUUGUUAGGUUACUUAAAAAGUUAGUGAAAGCAUAAUAAAUUUCAUAAAUUAACCGUACCCAUAUCCGCAACAGGUUUCCAAGAUGUUUAGUCUCUGGUCGAUGAAAUAAUGUAGGUAAGGGAAGUCGGCAAAAUAGAUUCGUAACUUUGGGAAAAGAAUUGGCUCUUGAGAUGUAGAUAUUCGGGUAUUAUGUAUCUAAUGGUUAUUUAAUUAUUAUAAAAUGAAUACUAGCAAUAGUUAUUUGAUUUAUAAUUAUUAAUAAUCAUUAACAUAAUGCUUACAUAUAUUUGUAAUAUAAUAUAUUAACGAAUAUCAAUUUAUAUACAUUAAUCAAGAACUGGCACGGACAAGAGGAAUCCGACUGUCUAAUUAAAACAGAGGAGACAGAUGAUGCUAGAUGCAUGUAGACUGUGUCUGAUUUCUGCCCAGUGCAAUGAAUGUUAUCAUUGGGAAACCAAUUGAAGCUCUUGUAAACGGCGGGAGUAACUAUGACUCUCUUAAGGUAGCCAAAUGCCUCGUCGGGUAAUUUCCGACGCGCACGAAUGGAUUAACGAGAUUCCUACUGUCCCUAUCUACCAUUCAGCGAAAUCACAGCCAAGGGAACGGGCUUGGCAAAAACAGCGGGGAAAGAAGACCCUGUUGAGCUUGACUCUAGCUAGGCAUUGUGAAGUGUCAUAUGAGGUGUAGCAUAGGUGGGAGUUAUUAUAUAACGAUCUUGAAAUACCACUACUUAUAUUGAUAUUUUACUUAGUUGAUUAAAUGGAAAUUUUAUACUAACAAGUAUAAUAAUUGUUGUAUUAAAUUAAUAUCUUUGAGAUAUUUAAUAAUCCACGUCAAUGACCAUGUCUGGCGGGGAGUUUGACUGGGGCGGUACAUCUAUCAAACUGUAACGUAGGUGUCCUAAGGCAAACUCAAAGAGGACAGAAACCUCUUGUAGAGUAAAAGGGCAAAAGUUUGCUUGAUCAUGAUUUUCAGUACGAAUACAGACCCUGAAAGGGUGGCCUAUCGAUCCUUUUGUAUUAGUAUGUUUCUAAAAAGAGGUGCCAGAAAAGUUACCACAGGGAUAACUGGCUUGUGGCAGCCAAGAGUCCAUAUCGACGUUGCUUUUUGAUCCUUCGAUGUCGGCUCUUCCUAUCAUUGCGAAGCAGAUUUCGCCAAGCGUUGGAUUGUUCACCCACUAAUAGGGAACGUGAGCUGGGUUUAGACCGUCGUGAGACAGGUUAGUUUUAUCCUACUGUUGAUUUAUUUGUUGUUGAAAUAGUAAUCUAACUUAGUACGAGAGGAACCGUUAGAUCAGCUAAUUGGUAUAUAAUGUUAUUGGAAACAAUAAUGCAUUGAAUCUACCAGCUGCAGAAUUAUGACUGAACGCCUCUAAGUCAG
rnacentral:rRNA from 1 species